AUCUCCCGAAAUGUCUCACCUUCAGAAUUUGUUCUUUCGUUUUAUGAGGCGGCCAAUGGAUAAUUACACGUUUUAAAGCUGGUGUCUUUACAGAGCGUAUUUUCUCUCCUUUCGUCUUAGACUCUGUCCCACUCGCUCCGGCCUCCUUGGUGUGGUCUGGACACACCAUGCACCCUGCCGCCCCAGGGCCUUUGCAUGUGCCUCCCCUCCGCGUUCCUUGCUCGUCCCAUUGAGUUCAGGGUGCUUCCCUCCCUCACUCCUUUUCACGUGUCUGUUCAAAUCCCUCCUCGUCAGAAAGGCCUUUCUGGCCGACACACUGUGAAAUAUUCCCUAGUCCUCUUCCAAGAUGCACCAUGCUCUAGCCCUCUGCCAGGUUUAUUUUUCUUCUUGGCCGUUAGUACCAUGUUGUAUGUUAUACCUUUACUGACUUAUUAUUAGUUUGCUGUUUCUCUCACUAAAGUUUAAGUUCCACAAGAGCAGGAACUUUGCCUAUUUUGUUCGUUAGUGUAACCCAGUACCUGUAACUAUGCCCGAUGCAUAUGGAUGCUCAACAAAUGAUUGUUAGAUGAAUGAAUAAAGUCAACCUCAGAUACUUGGAGAAGCUACCAUGACUCUCUUAUAUGAAUUUCAUGACAGAGGGAUUGCUCUGUAUCCUUACAAAAUUCUUAGUGAUAUAUUUUAAGAUGAUAUAUAUAUAUUUGAAUAUAUUAAUUUUUCAUUCCAUUUGUUUACUUUGAAGCCCUUUGUUGGUAAGGUGAACUGCUCUUGGUGUGGCUGAUUAGAAAGGUCUGUUCUUCUAAACUAUAACCUCACAAUCCCCAUAGGACGAUUCAUGUGACCCUGGAUGAUUGCAGUGAUAAUCCCAUCAUCAACGCGCCAUCUGUUGUCUUUGGGCAAUUGGACCCCAUUUCCAAAAAAUCAAGAGAUUUGAUAUUUUUCUCAUUUUCACUUUCUAGGUACAGGUCUUAAUCCUACAAGAGCUACAAAGAAAAGCCAUGACAGAGGCUUGCCAACAUUUUCAGCGUUGACUUACAGUGUCAGAUGCCAUCCUUUUCAAUUUGAGGAAAUGAGGCAGACGCUUAAUUUGUAGGAAUUUGGGAGAGGGCCGUAUUUAUAAGUAAAACGUUGGCAGGCUCUCUAUUGGUAUUCUGCUGGUGGUGUGAUCAGGGCACAUCGUCCUGGAGUUGCUUCCCCUUACUUCCUCUUUUUUGCUUCACGUUCACACACGUUCAUGUGCAAAUACUUAAGAUUAUUGUCUCUACUUUAUAAAUAAUUCAAACUAUACACUCAUCAGCAAUAUUAGAUUCUUCGGCUUCAUAAUAAACAUCCCACAAUACAUUUAGGGUGGACCUUGACAUAUCAUAGUUUGGUAGAGAUUUGUGUUUGAAUGUUGCAAACUGUGAGUUACCAGCUGUAUGACUUUAAGUAAAUUCCAUAAUUUUUUUGUAAAAUGGAUAUAAAGCUGCCUCACAAUUUGAUUAUAGAAUUUUGUGAGAUAAUAUUUUUUAAAUUCAGCAUUGUUUGCAAAUUACACAUAAGCAGACUUUGAACAUAUUUAAUUUCUUUUACUUUUCUUUGAGGAAAAGUUAUUUGGAAAACCUUCAAAAAACCACUUUUUUUGAUAAUAAUGCCAAAAUUAAUAUCAGUAUUUGGAUUAUUAAUUAUAAUGUUGACUAAUAUUUAUGUUACUUAUUCUGGACGAAGUGCUGUGGUUGUUAAAAUGUGCAGUUUGUCCCUUUAAACCUCACAGCCACAGCACAGUGUGACUCUUAUUUUCCUCAUUCAAAAUUGAGAAAACUGAAAUCUGCAGUGGUUAAAGAACUUAGCCAAGCUCACACAGGUCCAGAAUUACAAAAAAGAGAUCUGAUUUUAGGUCUUCUUGAUAACAAAUCACACCCUUUUAACUAGUAUGCUCAGUAACCUAUUUUAUGAGGGGCUUUGACAGUAUAAUGUUUGAAAAUAUCUUUGUAAAGGCACAAAGACAUAGAUAAGGAUUUUAUAUCUAUAUCUAUACAUAUAUAUGCAAUUUAUGUAUACUAUAUGUAUGUAUAUUUCAUUUCACUCAAUUAUAAAAAUUUAUCUGGAGUUCCCCUUGUGACUCAGUGGUGAUGAACCUGACUAGUUUCCAUGAGGACUUGGAUUUAAUCCCUAGCCUAACUCAGUGGGUUAAGAAUAUGGCAUUGCCUUGAGCUGUGGUGUAGGUCACAGAUGCCACUCAGGUCUGACAUUGCUGUGGCUGUGGUGUAGGCCAGCAGCUAUAGCUCUGAUUUGCCCCCUAGCCUGGGAACCUCCAUAUGCCGCAGGUGCAGCCCUAAAAAGAGGAAAGAAAGAAAGGAAGGAAGGAAGGGAGGGAGGGAGGGAGGAAGGAAAGGAAAGAAAGAAAGAAAAGAAAAGAAAACUUAUCAAUUACUUAGUAUGUGAAAGUUUUGUUAGAUUCUGUCAUAUAUACAGCUGUGAACACAGUGGAACCUUUGACUUUAAGGAGCUCUCUACGUGUGUGUAUAUUAAUAUAUUAUUUCAUGCCUAUAUAUAUCAGAGUGAAUUACUGAACUGAGGUUUUAAAAUAUUUUAACAAAUACGUUACUCAUACAAAAUUUGUUAAUGGAAAUUUAUACCUGGAAGUCAAACUGGAUGCCAUCAAAAAUGUUAUGCUUUAUGAAGCAGAGGACGAUAUGUAAUAAGCACAUCAAAUACACUAUGAGGAAACAGAGUUUAAAGAAUAUUAGGGCAACAUAGUAUUUUUGUCUCUAACGCUCACCGUCUAUCGGCACCGAUUCCUCGAGAGUUAGAGUUGAAAUGGAGGGUCACAAGCUAUGCUGGUUUGUUGGACUUUGACGUGGUAGAUCUUUGAAAAAUAAAUGAAGUAUCUGUUCCAAUUCUUCAACUAACAGACCAAGAAAAGCUACUCUAGAGUUGUGAAGGAACGUGGCCACUUUUCGCAAAUUGGGUUAAAUCCCAGACCAGAGGGUUAGUGGCAGUGGUGUAUGUAAACACUUACUGUUACAUGACAAGCGUUAAAGCAUGUGGGUACAUGAUUCAGUCUACCUUCCAUGAGUUGCUUAGCCGAGAAAGGGGGUACUGAGCACCUGCUUCUUCUCUAAGUCCCCCUCGGAGAUGACCACUUAGAGAACCAGCAUUUUAUCAGAUUAGGCUAUGAGCAGAAGGAACAUUUAAAUCCAGUCUCAUCAAAUAAAGAUUUAUUUUUAUAGGAGAAACUAAGUGUUGUGGAGGACAGAAGAAUGGUGGCUUGGAAUGAAUUACUCUGUCCCUUUGUUCUUAUGGACAGUUAAGUGACACAUCAUCACUUUUGGGUUUUUAAGAAAUGACCCUUAGACCUACUAGAGAUGGGUCACUUUGAAGUUUGGUAAAGUAUUGUUUCUGUUGCAAAUCGCACACUUUCCUGAACGCGCUGGUUCAGGACCCUCCCCUCAGCUCGUCUUAAUUGUCCCCACCCCUCCUGUUCACGUCAGACAUGGCCUUCUUUGCUGUGGAACCCCAAAAGGAUCUCAGAAUUCUUAUGCAGGUACCCCAAGCAGCCGAUACCAGGUGAUCAGCAUUUUCACCUGUGGUGGAAGGUAUGUGCCCUUGCUGGCACAGCACGAACACUCAAGGUAUUGAGUUAGAGGAUUCGGUACCAGAACAACUCUAAUGACUGCGUAAUUCUGACAUGGCAUUUAACUUCCCAAUGCCUCUGUUUCCUUGCCGAUGUGAUGGAGGCAAUAGUUACUUUAUGAUAACUUUUUCUAAGUUAUAGGAUGGCUGUAAGGAUAAGUGAUAUUGUAUUGGCAAAUAUCUUGGAGAAGAUAAAAACCACAAGAAUACCUGCACCAGUGUAACUUAUCGUAAUUAUCUACGUGUAAAUAGGUCCCUACUAAUAUCCAAAGGCAAACUUUUUUUCCCAGUUUUUCUCCUUUUGCCUCUAAAGCCUCCUUUCCCUCCCCUAUAAAAUGCCGAUGGUAUUGGCUUACUAUCUGGCAGACACUACAUAUGUGAUGUGUCAUAUAUAAUAUGUAAUUGUUACAUAUAUUGUCUCAUUUAACCUGUUCACCAUCCUAAGAAAGCCUGUUUUACAGACAUGAAAACUUAAAUCUGGAAUAGUUAAGUAAUUUUCCCAACACCAAAACUUGAAAAAGGUAGAACUGAAAUUGAAUCAGAUAACCAACUCUUAAUCACAUAAUUAAUGUAAAAAACAGGCAGUGGUUCCAAUAGGUUUAGUG
rnacentral:lncRNA from 1 species